AGUUCGCUCACCAAAAAGAACCGAACGCGAACGACGAUUCUUUCGUUCUUUGUUUCAUGAGGUUUUUAUUCACAAAGAACGCUCGUUAUCUUUUUCAUUUACCCACCAUAGACGCAUACUGUAGCCAAAGAUGUACUCAUUCUGCGGUUGAAACCAAUCAUUUAAAAACAUUAAACACUCGGCUGUCUGGUCAACACAAUCCAUCGCAAAACCGACCAAAAACUAGCAUGUAAAAAACUAAUACGAGCAAAAAUGUCUCCUGCAUAUAUUGUACCCCAUGCCUUAUACACACUCAAGGAUUCUAAAAAAACAAAAUUAUUUAAAUAUGGAUCAACAUGAUGAGCCAAACAAUGACUAAUCCGUUUGAACGGGCUCGAUCUAUUGAAUUGUAUAGGUAUAAUUUCCAUACCAACAGAACACAGAUCGAACACAAAUGAGCCAGUUCGAACGCGUUCGAUGAAUUCAGUCGUAUAGAUACGAUUUCCACACCAACAGCCCAAGUAGCAGAGCCGAAGUUUUUCAGAGAUUUUUCUGUGUGCCAAAGCGAGAUGCCCUGUCUUCUCUCUCUAGAUUUUGGACAACAAACCGCCACGCGUGUAAAGGUGUGUGCGUGUGACGAAAAAUGAUGGGUGAAAAACGCGAGGAGCGGGGUCUGAAGUCUUUCGUUGGUCACACACACAUGCAUCUACCAGCGGAUUGCGCUACACCGAGUCUACCCAUCUCUCUCGAUCUACCAUAAUUUUUUCUGCUAUCGCACUCAUCCGGGUGUUAGGUAUCCUCAGUCUGUCCAGAACUUUCGUUGUGGAAGGAUGUGCGGGAGUGAUGCGCGAUUUCUUGUGUCCCCUACCUUCCUUGUUUACGUUUUGCGCAGUGUUGCUUCUUAUUCCAUUGUGGAAUGAUUUAUCCUAGCUAACUUGUUGAGUUACAGGUGCAUGCAUCAUUCAUCAACGCCUACCUGUUGGCAUCAUCAACAAUCUUCAAAGUGGGAGACGGAAAGAAAUUGUUUUCCAGUUUUAAAAUAUUAAGCGUUCAGCACAACUCAGCCACAAAACAACGCACUGGAUUGCGCUAAGAACCUGUCGAAACGCGCGCAGCCCCCGGAAGCGGUAGGAGAAAGGAAGAACGAGAGGAGGAAAAACUAAAGCCAGCGCGCAGCUCUGAUCGUACCCCGGACGCGGUAAGAAGAAAAAAGAUCGAGAGGAGGAAGAACGGUAAAUUUGGAAGGGGGAGACCGUUCUGCCGUCUACACAGUGUGAGUAUGCCAAAGCACGUGUAGGAAGGGAGAGAAAAAGUGCGGAAUAAACUGCAUGCGAAUGUGUGCAUACACCAAAUGUAAA